GUUAGACAUUUUAUAUUUUUCUUUCGGGUACGCGAUGCGAAGGAAGGUCCGACUUUUGUACUUUUAUUCUCACUCCAGCUUAAUACGCGCCAACGAGAGUGGCGACCCCGAAUCCUCUAAUUUCGGUUAGCCGCGGCCACUGAUAAUUAACGAACUAUAAUCAGUGGGCUACUCCUCGUAACGCAACGUAACGAAACGUAACGCAGCGCUCACCCCUGGGCCAUAUUAAGCCCUUUGCACACCGAUAUAAUUGUGCGUAAAGUAUACCCAAAAAUAUAACUUAUCAGAUGUCGCUAAUUAGAUUAUGAUGAGGCGAGUCUGCCGUUGAAAUUAGUGAUGCUGAAUAGGAAUUUAAGUCUCAUUCUCGCAAGAUAGUACGCAUUAAUAGCACGCGACAAAUUGUUUUAGCCAUCCAACUUUGGUCAAUUUUAUAGAAACGAAAUUUUAUAUUGUCAUUAAUUUAAUAUCAAGAAUUUUUUAUUAUAUUAAUUAUUAACAAAAAGGUACUAUAAAAGUUAUUAAUAUAAUUUCAUACUUUUUGUCUCCGUAAAAUGUUUGGCAAUAAUUAUUAAUUUUUUCUAUAUUACGAAAUUAAGCGAAAAAUAAAAAUAUAUGAAACCCUAAAAUUAUUCUAAUCGCACUUCCUUCAUAUUGCUAGAAUUAAUAUUGUAUACGUGUUAUAUAAAUACAUAAAGAAGCGUUUCUGCACCGACGGAUGAGAGCAGCCUAAACUUUUCGCUUUUAUAAUUACACAGUGCUGCGGUACUGCCGCGAACAGGAGCUGACGGCCUUGCGGCGGUAAAGUCAGGUUGAGCGACAUCGCGAGUGCGAUCUUCAGGUUCGAGUCGCGUGAGAUGUUUCUUCGUGGUUAUCAGGAGAGAGGAAAAGUUAUGUGUAUGUGUAUGAGAAUGUGCAUGCACGUCUACCUACAACGAUGAUUAACGCGCACAAGAAAAGCGGAGGAAUUUUUAUCGCCGAUGGCAUUGUACGCGCCAGUGUGACAGAAAGUACCACGAGGGGUUAUAGCGAAUCGCCGUCACUUAAUGGUGAGUGGUGUAUCAUUUGCUUUCUGACGACUAAGUUUAGUCGUGAUACUUUGUAUGUUCGUGAAUGUGGAUAGAGUGAACGCACUUUUUCGCUACUACUACCAUGUAGUUCUAGAAAGUGCAAUUUCUUGUUAUUACAUGCAGAAGAAGCGGGACUUCCUUGCUCGGUACAACUGUGCAAUUUCGUAAACUGCAAUUUUUGCGAUUACAAAUAAAGAAGCGGGAUUUACAAUGUUGCAUAAAAAUGGUAAUCUCUCUCACCAUCAAGAUAAUAACUUAAUGUUAUCGUCUCCUUUUUUCAUUGGUUUGUCAAGCAAUUCAUUAAAAAUAUAACUCUCUCUGUCUCUCUCGUGCUCUAUAUAUUUUUUUUGUAUUCCCAUAAAUUUUACUUUCAUAUUCUUUAUGUUUUUUGACGCCUCUCUUACAGAGAGUCCUGUAAUUCUACAAUAAGUCUGACAUGCUUAUCUCCCCUAUUACUUCUUCCAACAAACCCUACUAUUUGUUCACUCCCUCUUCCCCUGCGUGCAUAUCCUUAUCAGACAUUCAAGCAACUGUUCUUUCUUCUCCUUUAUCGUAAUCACUUCCCAAGAAAAUGACAUAGAGCACAGCUAUUUCGCAUGCAGUUGUUAAUUUAUCGAAGCAUUCCCAUUCGUAGGGAUCGAUUCUUCUCGUCCACUAAACUCCAUCAAAGUUCUUCCGCAUGCAGAGCUAUAGGAACUGGAUCGAGUAUGGCAAAAUGCUACACAGCCGACGGUCUGGCGAGUAGAAAUUAUCCACUUUUGCGGUAAUUCGUGCCUGCCGACGCGCAUGCGGCACCGCGCAAGAUGGCCGCUGACUCGCGAGUCCCGAUUGGUGACGAUGGGGCGGGUUAUUUGAGCGGCGGUUGGUGGUUCAGCGUUGCUCGCGCGAGUAAUUUUGAUCGUGAUUAUACUAAUUUCAUAGUAUGCCCCUUCUCGGUGGCUUAAGCAUCGGACGAGUUCACACGAGCGGCGACGCGAGCCAGGAGUAACAGUGCCCGCGAAAUACAGAGCAGUUCGAAAAGUCUUCUCCGCGCCGGCUGCAUCCGAUUUUCGGAUAUCGGAUACCACGACGAACAAGAUAGACUAGCGACAAAAUUGAGAUAUGAUCGCGUGAUGAAGAUUACAAGGAUAUAUGCAAGUCUGGUUAAGAUGGUUGCGACGAACAGAUCAUCCUUGCCGAAGCUUCUUCCGAUGCUGGCUGCAUAAGUAACCAAAUAUGCAAAUUUCUCUGUAAUAAAUGGUUGGCUAUUAAUCAAAUUAUCAGUUCUGUCGCUAGUGGGACGGAGGAAACGUGAAUAAAAUACGAUUAUUAAUCGCGUAAUGCUAUGUACUUGAAAAGUAUAUCAUUAUGCAACUUCAAGCGUAUUUAAGUGAGUAUGUAUGAUUAAUAGAUGUUGAUAAGUUUAACAGAUAAAGCCAACAUUAAUAAAAUGAAUCUGCAGGUAAAAAUGUGCUUUGCAAAAUGAUUAUACGAUCUUCAAUUUUAAUAAAAAUGAUUUCUGAAUUUUAA